rnacentral:tRNA from 1 species
GGGCAUGUGGUGUAGUUGGUUAUCACGCUCGCUUAGCAUUGUUCGCUUGCGAGAGGGGUCCGGUUCAAUCCCGGACAUGUCCA